rnacentral:rRNA from 1 species
CUACGGGUUGCAGCAGUGGGGAAUAUUGCACAAUGGAGGAAACUCUGAUGCAGCAACGCCGCGUGGAGGAUGACACUUUUCGGAGCGUAAACUCCUUUUAUAUAGGAAGAAGAUGACGGUACUAUAUGAAUAAGCGCCGGCUAACUCCGUGCCAGCAGCCGCGGUAAUACGGAGGGCGCAAGCGUUACUCGGAAUCACUGGGCGUAAAGAGCGUGUAGGCGGAUUAAAAAGUCAGAAGUGAAAUCCUAUAGCUUAACUAUAGAACUGCUUCUGAAACUCUUAAUCUAGAAUAUGGGAGAGGUAGAUGGAAUUUCUGGUGUAGGGGUAAAAUCCGUAGAGAUCAGAAGGAAUACCGAUUGCGAAGGCGAUCUACUAGAACAUUAUUGACGCUGAGACGCGAAAGCGUGGGGAGCAAACAGGAUUAGAUACCCGGGUACUC